rnacentral:rRNA from 1 species
AUUGAACGCUGGCGGCAGGCUUAACGCAUGCAAGUCGAGCGGGGUGAUGGUGCUUGCACUAUCACUUAGCGGCGGACGGGUGAGUAAUGCUUAGGAAUCUGCCUAUUAGUGGGGGACAACAUCUCGAAAGGGAUGCUAAUACCGCAUACGUCCUACGGGACAAAGCAGGGGAUCACUUGUGACCUUGCGCUAAUAGAUGAGCCUAAGUCGGAUUAGCUAGUUGGUGGGGUAAUGGCCUACCAAGGCGACGAUCUGUAGCGGGUCUGAGAGGAUGAUCCGCCACACUGGGACUGAGACACGGCCCAGACUCCUACGGGAGGCAGCAGUGGGGAAUAUUGGACAAUGGGGAGAACCCUGAUCCAGCCAUGCCGCGUGUGUGAAGAAGGCCUUAUGGUUGUAAAGCACUUUAAGCGAGGAGGAGGCUCUUUUGGUUAAUACCCAAGAUGAGUGGACGUUACUCGCAGAAUAAGCACCGGCUAACUCUGUGCCAGCAGCCGCGGUAA